CGUGAGAUGUUGGGUUAAGUCCCGCAACGAGCGCAACCCUUGUCCCUAGUUGCCAGCAUUCAGUUGGGCACUCCAGGGAGACCGCCGGUGACAAACCGGAGGAAGGUGGGGAUGACGUCAAGUCAUCAUGGCCUUUAUGGCCAGGGCGUACACACGUGCUACAAUGGCAAGUACAGAGGGAAGCCAACCGGCGACGGGGAGCCAAUCCCAGAAAACUUGUCGUAGUCCGGAUUGGAGUCUGCAACUCGACUCCA
rnacentral:rRNA from 1 species